rnacentral:rRNA from 1 species
GGUUAAGCGACUAAGCGUACACGGUGGAUGCCCUGGCAGUCAGAGGCGAUGAAGGACGUGCUAAUCUGCGAAAAGCGUCGGUAAGGUGAUAUGAACCGUUAUAACCGGCGAUGUCCGAAUGGGGAAACCCAGUGUGAUUCGUCACACUAUCGUUAACUGAAUACAUAGGUUAACGAGGCGAACCGGGGGAACUGAAACAUCUAAGUACCCCGAGGAAAAGAAAUCAACCGAGAUUCCCCCAGUAGCGGCGAGCGAACGGGGAGCAGCCCAGAGUCUGAAUCAGCUUGUGUGUUAGUGGAACGGUCUGGAAAGUCCGACGGUACAGGGUGAUAGUCCCGUACACCAAAAUGCACAGGCUGUGAACUCGAAGAGUAGGGCGGGACACGUGGUAUCCUGUCUGAAUAUGGGGGGACCAUCCUCCAAGGCUAAAUACUCCUGACUGACCGAUAGUGAACCAGUACCGUGAGGGAAAGGCGAAAAGAACCCCGGCGAGGGGAGUGAAAAAGAACCUGAAACCGUGUACGUACAAGCAGUGGGAGCACCUUCGGGUGUGACUGCGUACCUUUUGUAUAAUGGGUCAGCGACUUAUAUUCUGUAGCAAGGUUAACCGUAUAGGGGAGCCGCAGGGAAACCGAGUCUUAACUGGGCGUUAAGUUGCAGGGUAUAGACCCGAAACCCGGUGAUCUAGCCAUGGGCAGGUUGAAGGUUGGGUAACACUAACUGGAGGACCGAACCGACUAAUGUUGAAAAAUUAGCGGAUGACUUGUGGCUGGGGGUGAAAGGCCAAUCAAACCGGGAGAUAGCUGGUUCUCCCCGAAAGCUAUUUAGGUAGCGCCUCGUGAAUUCAUCUUCGGGGGUAGAGCACUGUUUCGGCUAGGGGGUCAUCCCGACUUACCAACCCGAUGCAAACUACGAAUACCGAAGAAUGUUAUCACGGGAGACACACGGCGGGUGCUAACGUCCGUCGUGAAGAGGGAAACAACCCAGACCGCCAGCUAAGGUCCCAAAGUCAUGGUUAAGUGGGAAACGAUGUGGGAAGGCACAGACAGCCAGGAUGUUGGCUUAGAAGCAGCCAUCAUUUAAAGAAAGCGUAAUAGCUCACUGGUCGAGUCGGCCUGCGCGGAAGAUGUAACGGGGCUAAACCAUGCACCGAAGCUGCGGCAGCGACACUAUGUGUUGUUGGGUAGGGGAGCGUUCUGUAAGCCUGCGAAGGUGACCUGUGAGGGUUGCUGGAGGUAUCAGAAGUGCGAAUGCUGACAUAAGUAACGAUAAAGCGGGUGAAAAGCCCGCUCGCCGGAAGACCAAGGGUUCCUGUCCAACGUUAAUCGGGGCAGGGUGAGUCGACCCCUAAGGCGAGGCCGAAAGGCGUAGUCGAUGGGAAACAGGUUAAUAUUCCUGUACUUGGUGUUACUGCGAAGGGGGGACGGAGAAGGCUAUGUUAGCCGGGCGACGGUUGUCCCGGUUUAAGCAUGUAGGCUGAUUGUCCAGGCAAAUCCGGAUAAUCAAGGCUGAGGUGUGAUGACGAGGCACUACGGUGCUGAAGUAACAAAUGCCCUGCUUCCAGGAAAAGCCUCUAAGCAUCAGGUAACAUUAAAUCGUACCCCAAACCGACACAGGUGGUCAGGUAGAGAAUACCAAGGCGCUUGAGAGAACUCGGGUGAAGGAACUAGGCAAAAUGGUGCCGUAACUUCGGGAGAAGGCACGCUGGUGUGUAGGUGAAGUCCCUGCGGAUGGAGCUGAGACCAGUCGAAGAUACCAGCUGGCUGCAACUGUUUAUUAAAAACACAGCACUGUGCAAACACGAAAGUGGACGUAUACGGUGUGACGCCUGCCCGGUGCCGGAAGGUUAAUUGAUGGGGUUAUCCGUAAGGAGAAGCUCUUGAUCGAAGCCCCGGUAAACGGCGGCCGUAACUAUAACGGUCCUAAGGUAGCGAAAUUCCUUGUCGGGUAAGUUCCGACCUGCACGAAUGGCGUAAUGAUGGCCAGGCUGUCUCCACCCGAGACUCAGUGAAAUUGAACUCGCUGUGAAGAUGCAGUGUACCCGCGGCAAGACGGAAAGACCCCGUGAACCUUUACUAUAGCUUGACACUGAACAUUGAGCCUUGAUGUGUAGGAUAGGUGGGAGGCUUUGAAGCGUGGACGCCAGUCUGCGUGGAGCCAACCUUGAAAUACCACCCUUUAAUGUUUGAUGUUCUAACGUUGGCCCCUUACCGGGGUUGCGGACAGUGUCUGGUGGGUAGUUUGACUGGGGCGGUCUCCUCCCAAAGCGUAACGGAGGAGCACGAAGGUUAGCUAAUCCUGGUCGGACAUCAGGAGGUUAGUGCAAUGGCAUAAGCUAGCUUGACUGCGAGCGUGACGGCGCGAGCAGGUGCGAAAGCAGGUCAUAGUGAUCCGGUGGUUCUGAAUGGAAGGGCCAUCGCUCAACGGAUAAAAGGUACUCCGGGGAUAACAGGCUGAUACCGCCCAAGAGUUCAUAUCGACGGCGGUGUUUGGCACCUCGAUGUCGGCUCAUCACAUCCUGGGGCUGAAGUAGGUCCCAAGGGUAUGGCUGUUCGCCAUUUAAAGUGGUACGCGAGCUGGGUUUAGAACGUCGUGAGACAGUUCGGUCCCUAUCUGCCGUGGGCGCUGGAGAAUUGAGGGGGGCUGCUCCUAGUACGAGAGGACCGGAGUGGACGCAUCACUGGUGUUCGGGUUGUCAUGCCAAUGGCACUGCCCGGUAGCUAAAUGCGGAAGAGAUAAGUGCUGAAAGCAUCUAAGCACGAAACUUGCCCCGAGAUGAGUUCUCCCUGAGACUUUAAGUCUCCUGAAGGAACGUUGAAGACGACGACGUUGAUAGGCCGGGUGUGUAAGCGCAGCGAUGCGUUGAGCUAACCGGUACUAAUGAACCGUGAGGCUUAACCUU